rnacentral:rRNA from 1 species
CAGCCGCCACGGGAAUACGAGGGGGGCAAGCGUUGUUCGGAAUUAUUGGGCGUAAAGGGCUCGCAGGCGGUUUCUUAAGUCUGAUGUGAAAGCCCCCGGCUCAACCGGGGAGGGUCAUUGGAAACUGGGAAACUUGAGUGCAGAAGAGGAGAGUGGAAUUCCACGUGUAGCGGUGAAAUGCGUAGAGAUGUGGAGGAACACCAGUGGCGAAGGCGACUCUCUGGUCUGUAACUGACGCUGAGGAGCGAAAGCGUGGGGAGCGAACAGGAUUAGAUACCCGCGUAGUCCCUGUCUCUUAUAC